rnacentral:rRNA from 1 species
ACAUGCAAGUGGAGGGGCAGCAUGUCGGUUGCUUGCAACCGAUGAUGGCGACCGGCGCACGGGUGAGUAACGCGUAUCCAACCUACCCUUGUCCAUCGGAUAACCCGUCGAAAGGCGGCCUAACACGAUAUGCGGUUCACCGCAGGCAUCUAACGUGAACGAAAUGUGAAGGAGAAGGAUGGGGAUGCGUCUGAUUAGCUUGUUGGCGGGGUAACGGCCCACCAAGGCUACGAUCAGUAGGGGUUCUGAGAGGAAGGUCCCCCACAUUGGAACUGAGACACGGUCCAAACUCCUACGGGAGGCAGCAGUGAGGAAUAUUGGUCAAUGGACGAGAGUCUGAACCAGCCAAGUAGCGUGCAGGAUGACGGCCCUAUGGGUUGUAAACUGCUUUUAUAGGGGGAUAAAGUGUGCCACGUGUGGCAUAUUGCAGGUACCCUAUGAAUAAGGACCGGCUAAUUCCGUGCCAGCAGCCGCGGUAAUACGGAAGGUCCAGGCGUUAUCCGGAUUUAUUGGGUUUAAAGGGAGCGCAGGCGGACCUUUAAGUCAGCUGUGAAAUACGGCGGCUCAACCGUCGAACUGCAGUUGAUACUGGAGGUCUUGAGUGCACACAGGGAUACUGGAAUUCAUGGUGUAGCGGUGAAAUGCUCAGAUAUCAUGAAGAACUCCGAUCGCGAAGGCAGGUAUCCGGGGUGCAACUGACGCUGAGGCUCGAAAGUGCGGGUAUCAAACAGGAUUAGAUACCCUGGUAGUCCGCACAGUAAACGAUGAAUACUCGCGAUUUG